GUCACCGAACCCGCCCUCUGAAGGGGGCAGGCUUAUGAAAGCCUCCGGUGACUAGCCUGAAGGGAGCAUACCCUUCCUGCCGCCGUAAGGCGGCAGAGGUCCCUGGGGUUUCUCCCGGACCUGAGUUAUCCCGGCGACGCCACCGGCGGAUCUUGCCCGAGUCUGCCGCCCUGGCUCUGCGGGCGCCCUGUAAAGGACGUCCACGUACGGCCGAAAGGCCGGGCGGCUUUAAACAGCCCCUGGGGGAACGGGGCAGUGAGGCGGUGCAUAAGCCGGAGAUAACCUUGGCGACGGGCACAAUCACGGGUUGGGGGCGACCCC
rnacentral:sRNA from 1 species